GUCUGUUUGGAGAUAUAAAGAGUUUAACCUGCCCACUGAAGAAAAGAUAUUAAAGGGCCGCGGUAUAUUGACCGUGCAAAGGUAGCAUAAUAGUUAGUUUUUUAAUUGGAAUCUUGUAUGAAUGGUUGGACAAAAGAAAAUCUGUCUCUAUGUUAUUAAUUGAAUUUAACUUUUAAGUGAAAAGGCUUAAAUAAUUUAAAAAGACGAUAAGACCCUAUAAAGCUUAAUAUUAAAAUAUUAUUGGAUUGAAUUUUGAAUAUUAUAAAAAUUUAGUAAUAAAAUUUAUUAUAUUGGGGAGAUAAUAGUAAAAUGAUUGUUAACUGCUUAUUUUUAAAUACAAAUAUAAAUGAAGAAUUUUAAAUGAUCCUAGUUAAAGAUUAAAAGUUUAAGUUACUUUAGGGAUAACAGCGUUAUUUUUUUUGAGAGUCCUUAUCGAAAAAAAAGUUUGCGACCUCGAUGUUGAAUCAAAAUAUCUGUACAAUUGCAGUAGUUGUAUAAGAAGGUCUGUUCGACCUUUAAAUUUUUACGUGAUUUGAGUUCAGACCGGCGUGAGCCAGGUCGGUUUCUAUCUUUUAAUAAUAAAUAAUUAUUUUAGUACGAAAGGAUUAAAUAAUUGAAAUUAUUUUUAUAAUUGAUUUA
rnacentral:rRNA from 1 species